rnacentral:lncRNA from 1 species
CGACAUAAAGUUGGUGGACGAAAUAGAGGACUGAAUCUCAUCAAGCCCACGAGCAAGACAAGCGUAGAAGUCAUUGACAGAAGCCAUAGAUGGUGGUGAUAUGUAAGAUGGAGAAGGAAGUGAGUGAGGAUGGAGGAGGAGGAUAUGGGUACGUUAAAUAGAGGAGUUAAAUUAAUUUAUAAAGAGUAAUGAUGGGUGUUUCCUAUAGAGGGUGAAAGUAUGAUUAUCGGUCAUUGAUUCGUACGUUUGAUUUUGCAGGUGGACAGUUGUUUGUCUGAUUGUCUCCGUCAGUCGAUUCUCGGAACGGUGAGCCGGCGACGUUACACACACACACACAGAGAUAGAGAUAUAAAUAGGGGAUCGAAACCAGUAGUAGCUGGUUUGAGCAGUAAAUCAGGCUAGUGGUUAGCUUAGAUCUAGCUUGUCGAAGAAUCGAUCAUUAGCUCUUUUACCUAGGAUUCUUGGAAUGGAUUGUACUUGAGGAUAGCAUGUAUCAUGUCGGUAGCAUGAAUCGAUUCCCGUUUCAUUUCUUUUAAUAAAUAAUCUUUUUAUUCAGGGGUAAAUUGUAAAUUGCAACCCAUAAAACUUUAAUUAUUAACUAGUUUAUGAGUUAUCAGUUAAUGCCGGCCGACCAG